GUGUCUGCUGUUCAGGGAAAGAGAGAAGAUGUCUGCUGUUCAGGGAAAGAGAGAAGGUGUCUGCUGUACAGGGAAAGAGAGAAGGUGUCUGCUGUACAGGGAAAGAGAGAAGGUGUCUGCUCUACAUGGAAAGAGAGAAGGUGUCUGCUGUACAGGGAAAGAGAGAAGGUGUCUGCUCUACAUGGAAAGAGAGAAGGUGUCUGCUGUACAGGGAAAGAGAGAAGGUGUCUGCUGUUCAGGGUAAGAGAGAAGGUGUCUGCUGUACAGGGAAAGAGAGAAGGUGUCUGCUGUACAGGGAAAGAGAGAAGGUGUCUGCUCUACAUGGAAAGAGAGAAGGUGUCUGCUGUACAGGGAAAGAGAGAAGGUGUCUGCUCUACAUGGAAAGAGAGAAGGUGUCUGCUGUACAGGGAAAGAGAGAAGGUGUCUGCUGUUCAGGGUAAGAGAGAAGGUGUCUGCUGUACAGGGAAAGAGAGAAGGUGUCUGCUGUACAGGGAAAGAGAGAAGGUGUCUGCUCUACAUGGAAAGAGAGAAGGUGUCUGCUGUACAGGGAAAGAGAGAAGGUGUCUGCUCUACAUGGAAAGAGAGAAGGUGUCUGCUGUACAGGGAAAGAGAGAAGAUGUCUGCUGUUCAGGGAAAGAGAGAAGGUGUCUGAUGUUCAGGGAAAGAGAGAAGGUGUCUGCUGCUCAGGGAAAUAGAGAAGGUGUCUGCUGUUCAGGGAAAGAGAGAAGGUGUCUGCUGUACAGGGAAAGGGAGAGGGUGUGUGCUGUACAGGGAAAGAGAGAGAGUGUCUGCUGUACAGGGAAAGAGAGAAGGUGUCUGCUGUUCAGGGAAAGAGAGAAGGUGUCUGCUGUACAGGGAAAGAGAGAAGGUGUCUGCUGUACAGGGAAAGAGAGAAGGUGUCUGCUGUAUAGGGAAAGAGAGUUCAGGGAAAGAGAGAAGGUGUCUGCUGUUCAGGGUAAG